CCUACGGGGGGCAGCAGUGGGGAAUAUUGCGCAAUGGGCGAAAGCCUGAAGCAGCGACGCCGCGUGAGGGAUGAAGGUCUUCGGAUCGUAAACCUCUGUCAGCAGGGAAGAACGGUCACUGUGCUAAUCAGCAGUGAAUUGACGGUACCUGACUAAGAACCCCCGGCUAACUACGUGCCAGCAGCCGCGGUAAUACGUAGGGGGCGAGCGUUAUCCGGAUUGACUGGGUGUAAAGGGCGCGUAGACGGGCAUGCAAGCCAGGGGUGAAAGCUCAGGGCGCAACCUCGGGACUGCCUUUGGAACUGUGCGGCUAGAGGGCGGGAGGGGCAGGUGGAAUUCCUGGUGUAGCGGUGAAAUGCGUAGAUAGCAGGAGGAACACAGGCGGCGAAGGCGGCCUGCUGGACUGCGACUGACGUUGAGGCUCGAAAGCGUGGGGAGCGAACAGGAUUAGAUACCCCAGUAGUC
rnacentral:rRNA from 1 species